AUCCCUAGCUUCACCAAACAAUCUUCUUCUUCUUUCGUGGCCCACUUACAACUUACCGUAUCAUACACAAUCAUACACAGCGCACAGUCGCAAACACCUGCGGCAGGCCCAUAUCAUUUCUGCAUUAUAUCUGCAAGUUAAAAGAGGUCAUAGUCUAUUAAAAUAAUGUUUCUUCAUCAUGAUAAUCGCUGGAUAACACUUACCUGCUGUCUUGUGCUGUGUUGUUCAUCACGCCACUUUUCUACGCCGGUACAUGCACGUAACGCUUCCGACGGAGCCAGCACGCAUUGGGCAGGACUUCUACCACUUACUUUAGCUAAAAUGGCACUUACUUACGUAAAAUUAAGAACUUAAUUAUUAAAAAACUUACCAAAAUUGAUCAGCCAACAACACUGUUUACGUUUUUUUUACACACACAACCUGACUUCUACAGUGACAGCAGCCGCAGAGCACCAACACAACGAAAGGUGUCAGGCGAGACGUCAGACGAUCUUAGGCGAGGGGUAGGAAGGAGAGAUGUGGUGAGGGACGUGAAAGCUCAGCUCGACAGAAUCGCUAUAGGAGGAAGCGAGGCAACUAGACUAGACUAGAGAAAUUAGAGCGAGAGGUACCUCACCAACCCUCGCAUUGUUUGCCGGGGUACCUCACCAACCCUCGCAUUGUUUGCCGGGGAAGCUUGUUUUGUUGUUUACAAUCGCAUCCGAUUUUCGUACUUUUUAUUUCACGCGAUUUUAAACAGCAUUCCCGAUGACCACCAGCAAUGAGAUUGAUUUCGAUAGCCCCUUCGUGAAGAAGGAACAGUGUUGCAAAAUUUGUGGCGAAACCGAGGGGCCGAUGGAAUCGAUUUUUUGCAAAGCGGACGACACUGCCAUGCUGAACAAAAUCUACAAAUGCACCCGGGUGGAGGUGACACCGGUUUGUGGCUUGAUUUCCCCGGUCUGUGAGCACUGCCAUCGACGGAUCGAUGCGUUCGACGAGAAUGCACCGCCAAAGGUGAUAGAGUACGUGAUCAAGACCGAUCUGGACCCGGAACCGCUCGACUAUGAUCCACUGAAUGUAGGCGACAUGUCCGAUCCGAUGGGUGAUGAUGUCAAAUCUGAAGUUGAUUCGGAAGAACCAGCAUGUAUUUACGUGACGAAAAUUGUCAAACGUAGAGGAAGGCGGAAAGUCAGCGACGAGCCAGUUCGAAGCAGAGCUGCACGACGGCCUGGUCGACCGAAACUAAAGGCUGAACCUAAGAAAGCUCGGAAGAGUUUUAGUAGCUCACGCGAAGAAAGAACUUCCUUGGACGAGGGAAGCUCCGGCGAAAAUGAAACGGAUCAUUUGGACGAACGGCCGUCAUCAGGAAAAGAGCGAUUCUCUUCCCAGGACGAAGACAAUUCCAAAUUCACCGAUCUUGAUUCAGAUCUCGAUGACGAUGAAGCACUUGACCACGAGGAGGAGGAGGAGGAGGAUGAAUCCGCUCUGGAUGAGGAAGCGGAUGAGCACACCAACUCCGAGGAAGAGCCCCGCAAACGCGGACGUCCGAAACGUACCGCUCGGGGAGCAACGUCGAAAAGCCCAAAGCAGUGCGAAGUGUGCGGCAAGCAGGUGAAGUACAUGGCGGAACACAUGCGGCAGCAUCUGAUCGAAUCGCAGCAUCCCUGCCCACACUGCGACCGGACGUUCGUGCAGGCCAACAAUCUCCGCUACCACAUACGGAAGCAUCUCGGCGAGAAGCCGUACGCGUGCAAGCAGUGCAAAAAGCGUUUCUACUGCGAGGCGCACCUUAAGUCGCACAUGCGUGUGCACGGACCGCAGGGCCUGUUCCAGUGUACCGUCUGCUCGAAAAGCUUCAACCAGGAGUGCAACCUGAAAAAGCAUUUGCGUGUGCACACGGGCGAAAAGCCGUACGUGUGUGAUAAGUGCGGGAAGCGCUUCAACAGCACGUCCAAUCUGCGCAACCAUGCCCGGCUGCACACGGAGGAGCGGCCGCUGACGUGCGAUCACUGUGCAAAAAGCUUCGUCGAUGUGCAUCAUCUGCAGCGGCACAUUCGCGUCCAUACGGGUGAACGACCGUACAUUUGUCACGUGUGCUUUCAAGCAUUCUACUGCCAGACCGGGCUGAUGGAGCAUCUGAAGACGCACAUCGAGAAGAAGAACAUUAAAUUAGAUUAAACUUGCUUUUUUUAUGAAAGUCCGGUGCCAAUCAUACAACGAUAAGCUUUGCUUUAAGCAGCCCUAUUGCCUAGUUUGUUGGUGUGCAAUUAAGUUUAAAAAGUACGUUAAUAAGAAAUCAAAGAUGUGAUGGAUUUCUUGUGGAUAUAGCAUUUAUCUUGUAGAUUUUAAACAGAACCGGAAAGACUCGUCGUGUAGUGUAAAGCAAAACAGUUAUGAAGUAGCAUUUAGAGACAAACUCGCACUGCUGCUUCACACAUUGAAGCAGGUAGCACAUUGCGUGACGAUGCGAUCGGCACGCAUCACCCUCCGAACGGUCAUCGAACCCAAACGGAGCACGAACUGCGGCAUUGCAGUUUGAGAACAAAGAUGGUGUCUAUAUUUAAACACCCGCAGGUCCUUGCCUUCACAUCAGAGCUCAAGUGCAUCCUGUACAAGCAACGCCAGUCCUUUGGAAGAGCAUCCAGAACGAUCCUCACAAUGAUCACACUUACGUUGGCGGCAUUGGCGCUGAUUUUGCUGGUAGCAUUUCUCGUGAAGGAACUAUGGCGUCCAGCAAACUAUCCUCCGGGUCCGAGAUGGUUGCCGAUCGUGGGCAAUACACCACUGAUACGCAGGAUGGCCUCCCAGCACGGCGGACUGUUGGCGAACGUGUUCGAUAAGCUGUCGGAAUCGUACCAGAGCAGCG